rnacentral:rRNA from 1 species
CCUGGUUGAUCCUGUCAGUAGCAUAUGCUUGUCUCAAAGAUUAAGCCAUGCACGUGUAAGUAGACAUGGCUGUUACAGUGAAACUGCGAUUGGCUUAUUAAAUCGGUUAUGGUUCCUUUGAUCGCUCCAUCUGUUAGUGGUAAUUCUAGAGCUAAUACAUGCCAAUGAGCAAUGACCUUGUGGGAUGCGUGCAUUUAUCGGACCAAGACCAAUCCAGGCUCGCCCGGAUUCUUUGGUGACUCUAGAUCACGUCUGGCUGAUCGCACGUCCCUGUGACGGCGACGAUGCAUUCGGAUGUCUGCCUUAUCAACUUUCGAUGGUACUUUAUGUUCCUACCAUGGUGACCACGAGUAAUCGGGGUUCGAUUCCGCAGAGGGACCCUGAGAAACAGCUUCCGCAUCCAAGGAAUGCAGCAGGCGUGCAAAUUGCCCACUCCCGACUAGGGGAGGUAGUGACGAAGAAUAACAAUAGAGAACUUUUUCAAGGCCCUAUAAUUGGAAUGAGUACAGUUGAAAUCGUUUAACGAGGAACCAUUGGAGGGCAAGUCUAGUGCCGGCAGCCGCGGUAAUUCCAGCUUUAAUAGUGUAUAUUGAAAGUUGCAGCAGUUAAAAUGCUCGUAGUUGUAUCUUGGGAUCGAGCUGGUGGUCCGCUGCUAGGUGGGCUACUGCCUGCCCCAGCCCCUGCCCCUCGGCGCUCCCUUGAUGCUCUUGCCCUGACUCUGCUGGGGGUCCGAAGCUUUUACUAAAGCAGGCCGGUUGCCUGAAUACUUCAGCUAAGAGUAAUGGAGUAGGACUCCGGUUCUAUUUUGUUGGUUUUUGGAACUGAGGCCAUGAUUAAGAGGGACGGCCGGGGGCAUUUGUAUUGUGCCGCUAGAGGUGAAAUUUGUGGACCGGUGCAAGACGAACCAAAGCGAAAGCAUUUCCCAAGAAUGUUUUCAUUAAUCAAGAACAAAAGUCCGAGGUUCGAAGACCAUCGGAUACAGUCGUAGUUCCGACCAUGACUAUGCCGACUAGCGAUCCAGCUGCAUUAUUCCUAUGACCCGCCAAGCAGCUUUCGGGAAACCAAAGUCUUUGGGUUCUGGGGGAAGUAUGGUUGCAAAGCUGAAACUUGAAGGAAUUGAUGGAAGGGCUCCACCAGGAGUGGAACCUGCCGCUUAAUUGACUCAACACGGAAAACGUCAGCUGGCCCGGACACGGAAAGAAUUGAAAGAUUGAUAGCUCUUUCUUGAUUCUGUGGGUUAUGGUGCAUGGCCGUUGUUAGUUGGUGGAGCGAUUUGUCUGGUUAAUUCCAAUAAAGAAUGAGACUCCUCCAUGGUAACUAGUAACGCAACCCCAGCGGUCAACGUUCAACUUCUUAGAGGGACAAGUGGUGUUCCGCCACAAGAUAUUGCGCAAUAACAGUUCUGUGAUGCCCUUGGAUGUCUGGGGAUGCACGGGCGCUACACUGAACGGAUCAGCGUGCGUCUACCCCUCGCCGACAGGUGCAGGUAACCCGCUGAACCCCUUUCGUGAUAGGGGAUUGCAAUUAUUUUCUAUGAACAAGGAAUUCCCAGUAAGUGCUUGCGUUGAUUAAGUCCCUGCCCUUUGUAUACACCACCCGUCGUUAAUACCGAUUGGAUGGUUUAGUGAGGUCCUCAGGUCGGCAACAGCCCUGGUGUAGCGCAGAGAAGAUGAUCAAACUGUACUAUCUAGAGGAAGUAAAAGCCAUAACAAGGUUUCCGUAGGUGAACCUGCGGAAG